rnacentral:rRNA from 1 species
AUGGCUCAGGAUGAACGCUGGCGGCGUGCCUAACACAUGCAAGUCGAACGGGGUUAAGUGAAAUUUCGGAUGGAGCUUAACUUAGUGGCGGACGGGUGAGUAACGCGUGGAUAACCUGCCUCACACUGGGGGAUAGCAGCUGGAAACGGCUGGUAAUACCGCAUAAGACCACAGCACCGCAUGGUGCAGGGGUAAAAGAUUUAUCGGUGUGAGAUGGAUCCGCGUCUGAUUAGCCAGUUGGCGGGUAACGCCCACCAAAGCGACGAUCAGUAGCCGGCCUGAGAGGGUGAACGGCCACAUUGGGACUGAGACACGGCCCAAACUCCUACGGGAGGCAGCAGUGGGGAAUAUUGCACAAUGGGCGCAAGCCUGAUGCAGCAACGCCCGCGUGAGUGAAGAAGUAUUUCGGUAUGUAAAGCUCUAUCGGCAGGGAAGAAAGGCCCUUAACAGGGAGAUGACGGUACCUGACUAAGAAGCCCCGGCUAACUACGUGCCAGCCGCGGC